GACGAACGCUGGCGGCGUGCUUAACACAUGCAAGUCGAGCGAGAAACCUUCGGGUUUCUAGCGGCGGACGGGUGAGUAACACGUGGGUAACCUGCCUCAAAGUGGGGGAUAGCCUUCCGAAAGGAAGAUUAAUACCGCAUAACAUCAUAGCUUCACAUGAAGCCAUGAUUAAAGGAGCAAUCCGCUUUGAGAUGGACCCGCGUCGCAUUAGCUAGUUGGAGAGGUAACGGCUCACCAAGGCGACGAUGCGUAGCCGACCUGAGAGGGUGAUCGGCCACAUUGGAACUGAGACACGGUCCAGACUCCUACGGGAGGCAGCAGUGGGGAAUAUUGCACAAUGGGCGAAAGCCUGAUGCAGCAACGCCGCGUGAGUGAAGAAGGUCUUCGGAUUGUAAAACUCUGUCUUUUGGGACGAUAAUGACGGUACCAAAGGAGGAAGCCACGGCUAACUACGUGCCAGCAGCCGCGGUAAUACGUAGGUGGCAAGCGUUGUCCGGAUUUACUGGGCGUAAAGGAUGUGUAGGCGGAUAUUUAAGUGAGAUGUGAAAUCCCCGAGCUCAACUUGGGGGCUGCAUUUCAAACUGGGUAUCUAGAGUGCAGGAGAGGAAAGCGGAAUUCCUAGUGUAGCGGUGAAAUGCGUAGAGAUUAGGAAGAACAUCAGUGGCGAAGGCGGCUUUCUGGACUGUAACUGACGCUGAGGCAUGAAAGCGUGGGGAGCAAACAGGAUUAGAUACCCUGGUAGUCCACGCCGUAAACGAUGAGUACUAGGUGUAGGAGGUAUCGACUCUUUCUGUGCCGCAGUUAACACAAUAAGUACUCCGCCUGGGAAGUACGGUCGCAAGAUUA
rnacentral:rRNA from 1 species